rnacentral:rRNA from 1 species
UACGUAGGGAGCAAGCGUUGUCCGGAAUCAUUGGGCGUAAAGCGCGCGUAGGCGGCCCCGUAAGUCCGCUGUGAAAGUCAAAGGCUCAACCUUUGAAAGCCGGUGGAAACUGUGGUGCUAGAGUCCGGAAGAGGCGAGUGGAAUUCCUGGUGUAGCGGUGGAAUGCGCAGAUAUCAGGAGGAACACCAAUAGCGAAGGCAGCUCGCUGGGACGGUACUGACGCUGAGGUGCGAAAGCGUGGGGAGCAAACAGG